CUACGGGACGCAGCAGUGAGGAAUAUUGCACAAUGGAGGAAACUCUGAUGCAGCAACGCCGCGUGGAGGAUGACGCAUUUCGGUGUGUAAACUCCUUUUAUAUGUCAAGGAAAUGACGGUAGCAUAUGAAUAAGCUCCGGCUAACUCCGUGCCAGCAGCCGCGGUAAUACGAAGGGAGCAAGCGUUACUCGGAAUCACUGGGCGUAAAGGACGCGUAGGCGGGAUAGAAAGUCAGGUGUGAAAUCCUAUGGCUCAACCAUAGAACUGCACUUGAAACUUCUAACCUAGAGUAUGGGAGGGGAAGAUGGAAUUAGUGGUGUAGGGGUAAAAUCCGUAGAUAUCACUAGGAAUACCAAAAGCGAAGGCGAUCUUCUGGAACAAUACUGACGCUAAGGCGUGAAAGCGUGGGGAGCAAACAGGAUUAGAUACCCUUGUAGUC
rnacentral:rRNA from 1 species